AGGUCAUUUCAAACAGGGCUAAUGGGACCAAAUCUAGGAACCCUUAAUGCUUUGACCAAAGACUGAAUUCUUCAUUGGAUAUUACAGUCACUCGAGGGUGCUAUGCUUUCCUCUUGGAGAUACAAGC
ensembl:snoRNA